AUUAGUCGCGUGAGUGCACAUUUUCACUAUUGGGCUGGAUUUUCCUCGUACCCCUUUAUUUUUUCCAAACUCUCUCUCCGCUGAAUUCAGUGUUAAAUUUCCGAACUGAAAGCCUUAUCAUCUGCAUCGACGACCACUCAAUAUGCCAUGGCCGCCGCCGCCAUCCACGAGCCGGCGAUAGUGGCCACACCCUCACUUUUCAGUCUCUCUACUCGCAUUCACGUCUCUUCCCACCGUCGCUCGCGCCAUGGCCGCCGUCGUUCGCGACCUGACGGUAGUGGUGGCGGUCGUCGAGUUUGGGGAAUCGGCAGUUAUGAUUUCCUAAAAUGAAAUCUGAGCCUUCUCUCUCACAGAUGGAUUUCCGUCAUACCCCUCCAUUUUCUCCAAGCUCUCUCUCACAGAUGGAUUCAGAAAAUUGUGUAGCUAUGAAGAUGAGUUUACAGAUCCGAGCCUCCUUUGAAACAAAAAUUUUGUUGAUUUUUUAUGAUUCUUGGUCGAAAAUUUUGGUCCUGUAUCGAUCUUUUUGAUGGAUUCUGUGUCGAUUUUAAUGGGUCAAAAUUCUUGAUGAAGAUGAUAUUUGCUUGAAAUUUUGGAUUCAAACUCUAUGAAAUUCUGGGUUCAUGUUCUUGUAUUUCAAAUUUUGGGUUUCGAGAACGAUUCCGAGGAAACAAGUAUGGUGGUAAAGUAGGAGGUAUAGAGAAGGGGAAUGGUGAACUGAUUGUUAUUUUCAACAGGCCACCACCGCUGCCUCCUAUUAUUUUAGCUGUCUCGGUGCUCGACUCCUUGAAUAAGGGGGAUAACUGACGACUGACAGGCGAUAGGUGAAGGCUAUUGCUGCAACAAAUGUCGGUAAAUGGUAAUCCAAACUUGAGCAAGACUUUUAUAGUUGAUGUUCUUGGAAGCAAUCUCGACAGGAAAAAGAGGAUGAUCGGGACGGGGAGCUUUGCAAAAUGUCUCAGGGGUAAUAACUCACACACAAAAUGUAGGAGGGAUUGGUCAUCAUGGCUCAGCCUGCUUGGAUCCUUCCAUCGGAGACCAAAUUCUAGAUGGAGUGCAACAAGAAUUGUGGUGUCAAAUGCAGCAAGAACUACUCGAGCAAAGACUCAAACAAAAUCAGGAGAUGGAAGAGAUGAUGAAGCAAUUAAGAAGUCACUCCUGCUGAUGCAUCAUCGAAAUGAUGUCUCACGAACAUUCUUCAAAACUCGAUACUUUGUUUCUUUUUGCUUCGUACGUUGGUUGUAUUUACUAGUAAUAUUUAUGGGUUUAUUUAUCUAUCAUGAUUUUCAUUUUGUUGGUUUA